rnacentral:rRNA from 1 species
UAGACCGUAAAGUAAGUUACUUGUUAAAUUUUAAAACCUAACUUUAAGACAGCUUGUAAUACUGCUUUACUUGAGUUUUAUACAGAAGAGUAGAAUUUUAUACGAAAGGGUAAAAUCUGAAGAUAUAUAAAGGAAUACCAUUAGCGAAGGCGACUCUUUGGUAAAAACUGACGUUGAGGGACGAAAGUAUGGGUAGCAAACGGGAUUAGAUACCCUGGUAGUCCAUACUGUAAACUCUGAGUGCUGUAAUUUAAUGUGUGUAUUUUAGAUACUCAUUUAGAUUUUUAAGCUAAUGCUAUAAGCACUCCGCCUGAGGAGUAUAAUCGCAAGGUUGGAACUCAAAGGAAUUGACGGGGGCUAAUACUAGUGGUGGAGCAUGUGGUUUAAUGCGAUAAUCCGCGCAAAACCUUACCAAUUCUUGACAUAGAAGUUUAAUUUCAUUUUACACUUUAGGUAAAUUAAUUCAAAUAAUAACUUUUACAGGUGUUGCACGACUGUCGUCAGCUCGUGUCGUGAGAUGUUUGGUUAAUUCCCUUAACGGGCGUAACUCUUAUCUUU